rnacentral:tRNA from 1 species
GCCCGGGUGGCUCAGUCGGUUAAGCAUCUGACUUCAGCUCAGGUCAUGAUUUCACAGCUUGUGGGUUUGAGCCCCGUGUUGGGCU